rnacentral:rRNA from 1 species
GACGAACGCUGGCGGCGUGCUUAACACAUGCAAGUCGAACGGAAAGGCCCUGCUUGCAGGGUACUCGAGUGUCGAACGGGUGAGUAACACGUGGGUGAUCUGCCCUGCACUUCGGGAUAAGCCUGGGAAACUGGGUCUAAUACCGGAUAGGAGCCAUUUUUAGUGUGAUGGUUGGAAAGUUUUUUCGGUGUAGGAUGAGCUCGCGGCCUAUCAGCUUGUUGGUGGGGUAAUGGCCUACCAAGGCGGCGACGGGUAGCCGGCCUGAGAGGGUGGACGGCCACAUUGGGACUGAGAUACGGCCCAGACUCCUACGGGAGGCAGCAGGGGGGAAUAUUGCACAAUGGGCGCAAGCCUGAUGCAGCGACGCCGCGUGGGGGAUGACGGGCUUCGGGUUGUAAACUCCUUUCGCUAGGGACGAAGCUUUUUGUGACGGUACCUAGAUAAGAAGCACCGGCUAACUACGUG